rnacentral:lncRNA from 1 species
GUCCAAGCAUUCCCAGUUUCCUUCCCUAGAGAUCAAACUCAGGGCCUUGUGCACUCGAGGCAAGUAAGUAUCCAUUCUGUCGUUGAGCUACAUCUCCAGCCCUAACUUCCCACCUUCACCACAGAAGAAACCUAGGAGCGGUGGGAGUAGGAGAAUCACAAACUGAGUGAUGUAGAAAGCAGAUGGGAAAGAGGAUGGAUGAUGAACCAAAGACCUGUGACCAGAGAAAUGCUCAGACAGACAUAGCAAGGCCUGCCCUGUGGUCACUAGAAGCAGACACACACCAGGAAGGUUAAGAAGGCUUGACCUGACGAAAGAACAGCACCAUCAGCAAGGGACCAAGCCUUCAGUACACCAGGCCUCAGGGGACAUGCAGCAGCGAUAAAGCCAUUACGACUUAUUCAAAAAACUCAUUGACUAUAUACACAAUGUAAGAAUGAACGCAAAUCAUCACUGACAAGGAACCAGAACCUUACCCUCACCUAACAACUGUGCCACCCUCCAAGCAGAGCCAUUGUUCAUUGAAACAGUUGAUGAACGACUUCAUGGAUAGACCAUCGUAAUGCACACACCAUUUCUUAUAUGAAUGUAACCUGUUCCUGCGGGCUGAGAAUGAAGACAAUCACUCAAGUCAAAUAGCUUUGACCAAAGAAGGAAAUCUGUAUCCAAAAAUUGUGCCUACAAUUCAUUCCUUGGCACUGCAGAACUGUCAAGUCUUAGCUUAUCUACUGUGGAGGUAAAAUCCUCCAUAGUAGAGAAUGUGAGGGACAUUCAAGUACAGCCUUAUUACAAUGAACUCCAAUGUCCAAAAAUUGUUCUUAUUUUGGGUUUGUACCACCAAAAGAGCCAAGAUUUUAAGCUCUACUAAAAACAAAACAAAACAAACAAACAAACAAAAUGACUUUAUCUAUUCAUGUUCAUUAAAAAAACUAAUAGUGAUAUAUUAUUUUAAAAUAUAUAGUUAAUAUAGUUGGAGUUACUUAAAAUUUAUAUUGAGAAAAACAUGUAUUUUCAGUAUUGCUGUAGACAAAUGUCUACAUAAGACUGUUCAAUUGAUUAUUAUUUUAUAUCAAACAACUUUUAUAAUGCUCAAUUUUUAUUAUUAGAAUAGCUUAUAAAUUUUAAAUAAUAUGAAAAACAACCCAAAAGAUAUGGCAGGUAUUGAAGGGGGUGGUCUCUGGGAGGAGUUGGGAUACAAAAGGGAAAGAAGAAUGUGAUGUAAGUCUAUUUACUCAAAAUAUGUUUUUAAAUGUUAACAAAUUCAGAUAAAUUGAAAUUAUGUAUGUCUUCUCAUAAUAAUGCAAUAAAAUUUAAAUAAAAAAGAAUGAAU